GGAGAUAAACAGAGGGAGAUAAACAGAGGGAGAGGGAAAUAAACAGAGGGAGAGGGAAAUAAACAGAGGGAGAGGGAAAUAAACAGAGGGAGAGGGAAAUUCCACGUCAGUGUCUGAAGAGUUUCACAUUGAGCCCAGAUCUGAGUGAGAGUUCCUUGUGCUGCUUCUGCAUUGGAGCCAGAACAGCAUCAAUCACUCUGUUCCUCCAUUACAGGUCCAAGCAAACUAUUCCUCCAUUCUGGAUCAGAGUGACCUGGCCUAAUGUGACCACUGACCUACAGACACAUACGGGGCCCCAAGUUUCUCAUGGAGAGCAGAGAAUCAUAUUAAAGCUAAUUAAAAGCUGUCAUUUUGGCUCCCACAUAAAUGGGUCUGUUUCCAUGUGUGGUGUGUGAUCGUUUUUCAUGUAUGUGAACAGUAAUGGGGAAAACCGAUGUCCAUCAGAGUUAAAAACUUACGGUUGUAACUAACCAGCACCUGGCUCAGAGAAAAGCUCUCAACUUUCAUCCUCUUUUUGUAUUUCAACCUGAAAUCACAAACAUUUGGCUGUGGUAGGAGCUGGUAUGGUAUGCAGCUGUUUCUCCUGGUAGAGAGAGAGAGAGGUAGGAGCUGGUAUGGUAUGCAGCUGUUUCUCCUGGUAGAGAGAGAGAGAGGGUGGGGGGGACAGAGAUAGAGACAGACAGAGAGGUAGGAGCUGGUAUGGUAUGCAGCUGUUUCUCCUGGUAGGAGAGAGAGAGAGGUAGGAGCUGGUAUGGUAUGCAGCUGGUUCUCCUGGUAGAGAGAGAGAGAGGUAGGAGCUGGUAUGGUAUGCAGCUGUUUCUCCUGGUAGAGAGAGAGAGAGGUAGGAGCUGGUAUGGUAUGCAGCUGUUUCUCCUGGUAGAGAGAGAGAGAGAGGUAGGAGCUGGUAUGGUAUGCAGCUGUUUCUCCUGGUAGAGAGAGAGAGAGGUAGGAGCUGGUAUGGUAUGCAGCU